UGUGAGUCAGUCUUCAGUUCAGGUAGAAUCUGCUGUGAAGGUGCUUCUCUUGUUUAAAUCAAUAGGCUUGUCAUUCUGAGCGGCAUCCUUUUUUCUUCAGCAAGCCCAACUCUUACACACUGAGAGUGUAGAAGUGUGUGUGUGCCAGCUGUGAACAUGUACAGCAGGGACUGCUGGUCAGUGCAGCAGCUUUCAUCAGCCUAGAAAGAGAGGGAAGGGCUUUUGUCAGUGAGUUUGCCUCCCUUUUGGCUCCGUACACGCAGAAGCUUUAAGAGGGAGAAACCUCUGUGCUGGGUUCAGUUCCUUUCUUUCCCCCCUCUUUUGUUUGUGAUAGUACUUCACACAGCAUGGCAGUUGUUUAUCUGAAGUUGGUAGAAGGUUCCGGAGCUUGUGUGGUUAAGGAUACUAGGGCAGUUCCACAUAUUCAUACUUGUUCCUGCAGGACUUAAUGGUUUUCCAUUCAUCUCAAUGCCAGUAGCUUGGCCGGUGCAGGACAGCCCAGAAUUUUGUGUGUCUUUGCUUUUUCACUUUAGAUUUUUUUUUUUUUUUUUGCACCAAUAAGCUGAGCUGUAAAUGCCAUGUGACUAAUGGCUCUGAAGUGUCAUGUGUCAUGUUAGUGCUGAUUGGCUGAUGGCAGUGUGAGUAUUUGCACAGUCAUCAGCUGGGGCUUCAAAGGCAGCAGACAAGGAGAAAUAUAAGUCCAUUUCAUGGUUUAAACAGCCGUCCAAAGAAAGCCUUUCUGUCUCUCUCAUCCCCUCUUUCAAAAAUCUCAUGGAGAGGUUCAAGUCUGCUGGAUGUUGGCGAUGGUGUCUGCAUCAGUGAAGGACACCUCAAUAACAACUCCAUUGAUAUCUACAGUAAACCUACUGCUGCACCAGAGAUGAAGAGACAGAGAUGUCAGGACCUUUACAUGGCAAUUUGCUUGGUAUGCACAUGCACUUGAGUCAGCUUCAUUCUCCACUUUGAUUUGACACCAAUGCAUCAUCCAUUUAAUGAUAUUAAGUAUUUUCCAUUUGUUUUAAUUGUGUCAUGUUUUGUUUCGGCAUGUUGUUUCUUAAGCUGGACAGCCCACCUUCUUCAAAGAGCCCUGCCCUGCCAUCAUGGCGGUCACUCUGAUUGGCACCAAUGACGGCAACUCUUGACUGGUGAGGUUACCAUGGCAACAGGGGGGUCCCUAGGGGCAAAAGCGGUACUGAAACGAAAAAUGAGUCAUCUGUUGAUUAGGUUAGGAAGUGCAUUUUAACCUUUUGCCAGUUCUUUGGCUGCUUUCAUUUGUAAGCAAAACGACAGCGGAAGCUGAAGAGCUUUAGAUUGCGUUUACCAUUGAUCAGUGAGUUGAUGGACCGUUUUUAGUUCCUUGGUCUUGACAGUCAGUUAUAUUUAACACAUUCUGUGAGCUUGUUAAUUAACACACAGUCGUGUAUCUGCCCUACUGUGCAGCCUGUAUGUGAACAGCUACAGUUAACUGUGCAUGUGUGUGUGUGUGGAGUGUGUAUUCACCUAAAGGAAGACUCACCUCUGAUUUAGCUCCUGUUUGACUCCAGUUAGAGCUCAGACAGUGUGUGAUAUUUACUGAAGCGCUUGGGUUGACCUAGGUGAUGCCGGGUCGGUGGUGUGUGUGUGCCGGUGUUAAUUGGGGGUGAAGUGGCAGUGUGAGAGGAAAAGGGAGGUGUUGAUGUGUGGACGUGUGUGGUGGUGAAAGCAAGCUACAGGUGACAUGACGCUUCUGUGACUGGAGAUGUACAUCCAGUUCAAUCCACGGUCUCGCCACAAUUACUGUUUUCUGUUCUGUUAUCUCUCUUUCUCUCAGUCUCUCUCACUGUCUUUCACACCUAUUCAGGCUUUCAAAGCGCUAAAGUGGGUGUUUGUGUUGUUCAGGUGACUGCCCAUAACAGCCAGUGUCCUGGCACUACUUCUGGAGGUCAAAUAGAUACAUAGCCAUUGACAUGUCUAUUUGUUUUUGGGUGAUCUGAUCACUCGGAGCAAAACAUUUGCGGAAACUGGGUGUGAUUACACAUUGAAAGGCAUCUGAUCUGAUAGACACAGAUCUGAUAAUUCAUCCAAAAAUGACAAUUCUGACAUCCUUUACUGGCAUGUGUGAAUGUGCAGUGUGAGUAUGUGUAUGUAUUUACAAGUAGUACUUUUAUUCAGUCAGGACGUAUUAAACUGAUCAAAAGUGACACUAAAGACAUUUAUAAUGUUACAAAAGAUUUCUAUUUCAAAUAAAUCCUGUUCUUUUGAACUUUUUUAUUCAUCAAAGGCUUCUAAAAUACUUACAGUAUAUUAUGGUUUCUAAAAAAGUAGCAAACUGUGAUAACCAAAAGAAAUAUUUCUUGAGCUCCAAAUCCAAAAUUACAUUUUAAAAUAUAUUAAAAUAGAAAAGUUAUUUUAAAUGUUAAUAAUAUUUCACAAUAUUAUUAUAUUCAUAUAAUAAUAUUAUACAACAUAUGUUUUAUUGUAUUUUUGAUCACAAAUGUAUAUUUAAAAAAUUCUGACCAUAAAGUAUAUUUUUUCCAUAUAGUGCAAGCCAGUGGGAUCCAAUGUUGUCUGAACCCCAGUGACUUUCAAAAUAUCUUCUUUAUUGUUCCACAGAAGGGAAAAUGUCAUAAGAAAGUCAUAUAAAAAGAAAAUAAGCAAAUGAGAUGAUGUUUCAUUCAUUUAAUUCGUUGAAUUAUUAAAAACUGUAGAUAAACAAUGCUUUAGAUACUAUUUGGUUAUCUCAGAGAAUUGCUUGAUGGAAAUAUCUUUUCUCUUUGUGUUCUAUUGUUUCUAACAUAUCCAUAAGCGACCAAAAAAUUCUCUAAAUUACUCUAAACAUUGUGACCCCUUAAACUCGUGGUUUUCCAAACUUGAUGAAGACCUGCUCUACUUCUGAGAGCUGAAACACUGGCCGCAGUACAGUGCAACAGCUGUUCCUGUCUCAUUUUCUGCAGAAAACAAAAAGCUUUGCAUGGUCCCUCAAGUCAUUUUUUAUUUUUUUUAUUGACAGCUGUGGACACGAGUGCACAGUGAGUUUGGCCUCUCUAGCAGUCGGCUGAGAGAUCCUCUUCACUUGAGAGAGGGAAUUAGAAUUGGAAAUAAUCUGAUUCGCCCUCACAGUUUUACUCAUUUGCAUGCUAGAGGCGACACCUGUGGAACAUGCUAAUGAACGAAUGAAAUUAGAAUAAUAUUUAGUUUACUUGCCUCUCCAUAGGCUUGCGUGGGCAAUGUGAUAAGACAUUGUGUUUAUAUCGCUAUCCCACUUGUACGAUCGCACGAUCAUUGUGUGCAUCACACACUGUAAUGUAACAAUAUCCAGUGGCUUCUUCUAGCAGUGCUUUUUUAGCCUUUGUGAAAUGGGCAGAAUACGAUCCUCUAUUGAUUUUAAUUGUUUAUCUGUUUAAUCAGUUCCGCUUUAGUACAUAUGAGUAUGAGUAUAAGUUUGCAUGUGUCCAAUCGGAGGUCUUCUUCCUCUGUGAUGUUGAUGGCUUUGGGCUGAACUUUUCAGUAUGAGGUUCUGUUAUUUGGACAGAAAUCAGAGAUUUUCUCUUCCUCACAAUCUUUUUCUCUUUUUCUCAUUCUCCCCACUGUUACAGCACUUUUGAUCACCGCCUUACAGCCAUUCACCUGUUCCCAUCCCUAUUCCUAUCUGAUUCUGAUCUCUCUGUUGUGGACUUGCUCUUUACAGACAACAAUUUUCAGUUCACCAUAUUUUUUCCAAGUACCCCUUUGUCAACACCAGAAAUGGGUUCCUUACUAUUAUUUAGUAUUAUU
rnacentral:lncRNA from 12 species